AAACACAGAUUGAAAUCGAGAAUUGUUGAAGAUUGCUAGUAAAUCUAGAAGAAACAACAAAUUUAUCAACACAUGGAGGAAUGGAGAGAUGGAGGAGUGGGAUGAAGCUUGAGGCGGAAAAAGGAGCGAUGCAGAUCUAGAACUCAGGUGACGGCGGCGCGAGAGAGGUACUUAGGGUUCUCACUUAUCUCGUGUUCUAUCCUCUGAAAAGUUAAAAGAAAAUUAUAAGAAGAAGAAAUUUAAUACUUGGACGGAAAAAAAUAAAACUGAUUUGAGACGGAAAACAUACUUUCAUCUUAAAUUUGGGACAGAAAUAUAAAUUCUGUCACGAGAUUGAGACAGAAAUAAUUUAUGUCGCAAGAUAAUAUAUAUCCUUUAGAAAAAAC
rnacentral:lncRNA from 1 species